UAGUGUCACACAGCAUAACAGGAACACAAGAUGGUGAGGAGCAUGGCACAGGAAGACUGCGGUGAGAACUGUGGGCAGCAGUAGGACUACCUGCUGCUGAGGAGAGGGCCACAGCCCCACACAGCUCUGCCCUGCUUUUUCAGGAGACCCAGGCAGGCUUCUCCUGCUGGCAGCAGGUGCUCCUCAGACAGGGAGAGGCAGUGCAAAUACCAUGGGAGGGUGGGGCUGCCCCAGGCAGGGCUGAGUGACAUCCGUGGGACAAAGGGCUUUCUGGGGCCGCAGGAAAGGUUCCAACAGCGAGAGAGCGGCCAAAAUUUGGUACAUACUCGGAGGUUCCUGCACCUCAAGAUCAGCCUGAAGGCUUCUGUAGAAAUCUGCCAGGCCCAAAGGAGACAACAUCAGAGCUGACCAGCUCCAUCCAGCAGCUUCAGCAGGAGACAGAGGCCUGGCAGCCCAAGGGCCAAAGGGAAGCCUUGGUACUGGAGCCACAGCAUGCGGAGCCCAGAGCAUGCCAGGACACACAGCAUGAAGAUCUGGAGCCAACUGAGGUGCUAGCCAUGAUACAGGCAUUACAGCUGGACCUGGACUUCUGCAGGGGCACAAACCACAAACUGGUCCAGCUGCAGGAGCAGGAGUGUGCCGUGGAGCAGGAGCACCAGGAGUUGGUCAUUCUGAUGCAGCAGUUGCAGGCACUGAUGGGCAAGGUACCAGUGCUGGGCACAGUGGCCACAGACCAAGCUGCAUGUGUCCCCCCACUGCCACUCCACCACAGGCUAGGCACCAUGCCUACCCCACAGCCUGUGCAAACAACUGGUGACCCCCACAGGGGAGGGUAGAGAACAUCCUGCCAGCCACACAUAGCUCUAGCACCACCUGUGCAGAGCAGCCUAGCCACAAGGCAGGCCUGGCUGGCACAGCCCAGUCCACCCAGCUGAGCAGAGCUGGAAGAAUGCAGACCCUAACAGCCCCACUGACACCCUGGGCACAGUCCAAGGGCUAGUGGCACUGCUGCAGCCCACAACUUUGCCAACAAGCUUGGAUCACCACUCUCCCUGUGCCCGUGCUCUGCC
rnacentral:lncRNA from 1 species